rnacentral:rRNA from 1 species
UAGGGAAUCUUCGGCAAUGGACGAAAGUCUGACCGAGCAACGCCGCGUGAGUGAAGAAGGUUUUCGGAUCGUAAAACUCUGUUGUUAGAGAAGAACAAGGACGUUAGUAACUGAACGUCCCCUGACGGUAUCUAACCAGAAAGCCACGGCUAACUACGUGCCAGCAGCCGCGGUAAUACGUAGGUGGCAAGCGUUGUCCGGAUUUAUUGGGCGUAAAGCGAGCGCAGGCUGUUUCUUAAGUCUGAUGUGAAAGCCCCCGGCUCAACCGGGGAGGGUCAUUGGAAACUGGGAGACUUGAGUGCAGAAGAGGAGAGUGGAAUUCCAUGUGUAGCGGUGAAAUGCGUAGAUAUAUGGGGGAACACCAGUGGCGAAGGCGGCUCUCUGGUCUGUAACUGACGCUGAGGCUCGAAAGCGUGGGGAGCAAACAGG